AAAGUGAGACACAGCAAAAAAAUUUUCAGUACUUUUUUUUUCGUUUUUGGCCUCCUCCAUUGCAUAUGGAAGUUCCCAGGCCAAAAAACUGAAUCCAGGCCAGAGCUGUGACCUACGCCCCAGCUGUGGCAACACCAAAACCUUAACCCACUGCACCGGACUGGGGAUUGAACCAGCGACUCCACAGAGGCAAGCCAGAUCAUUAACCCACUGCGCCACAGUGGGAACUGCAGCUUUUCAAUACAUUUUUAAGAACAAUUACCGUGUUCUCUUUUACCAGACUUAAUAGACGGUUUCAAGUUGGUGAAGAGGAGUUCCUGGUGUGGUGCAGCGGGUUCAGGAUCCAGCAUUGUCUCUGUGGCAGCACGGGUUCAAUCCCUGGCCCAGUGCAGUGGGUUAAGGAUCUGGUGUUGCAGUGGCUGUGGUGGCGUAAAAGUCACAGCUGCUGCUUGGAUUUGAUCCCUGGCCCAGGAACUUCCAUGUGCUGUGGGUGCAGCCGAAAAAAUAAAGAACAGUAGCUUUCCAGUAAUAAGUUCCAUUUAACAGGCAGUUACUAGCAUACGUAUGUGCUCAGUUUGAGGGACAAAAAAAGUCUACUAUGUUUGAUUUUGAAUGGAAAUAGCCAAGUUGUUUUAAAUGUCUGGUCUCAGAAUCUUCAUGUAUGAAAUCAGGAGAGUGGACGAGAUAAUUUCUAAGGGCCCUUGCAACUCUAAAAUUCUAAAAUUCCAUCACCACAAGCAGUGCUUGCAUAUAGAGAGGCUCCAUAAGUUCUUCUAAAUAUUUGUUGCAUGAAUGAAAGUCUUUUCUAGAGACUAUUUCUCUGGCCUGUCUUCCUCUUUUCUCUUCAUUACUGCUUUAGAAGAAGACACCUUAGAUGGACGUUUCUAGAUUGACCUACCUACCUCCUCUCCCUCUUGUGCAAACGUUUAGAAAUUUCUUCACUGUUUUCAGAAAAGUACCAAUGUAAUGAAAAAAGAAUUUCAUUAAAUUAAGGCAACUUUUGGUGAGUGGGAUUUAACAAAAGUGGAACCAGGCAAUUUAAUCAAGUUGAUAUCUCAUCUCCCUGUGCAAGCUUUUGGUGACUAGAAUGGGUGCUUCUCUGUUGAUAAAUCCUGGAGAGCUGAGGUUGGCAAAUGAUAUAGCCCAUAACCUAAAAUGGGUUUUACUCUCUUUAGAAAAGGAUCGGGGCGGGGGGGGGAAAGGAUAUGUGAUUACAAUUGCCUGGCCUACAAAGCCUAACAUUUGGCCCUUCACAGAAAAAGAUUUGCCCCCGGGUUUUUGAGCCUAGACUUGUAGAAAUCACAAUACGAGUGGGUGACAUACUAACAUCUUAGAAGGAUCUUUGUCACAGUUGACACUGAACCGGAGAGAACAAGUGUCUGGGCCUUGCUGCCACAGGGAGAAGAAGAAUCAAGUUUUGUCUAAGAUUUAACCCACAGAAAUUGUCAUCAAGGUUUUUUUUGUUUUGUUUUUUUGGGGUUUUUUUUUGUCUUUUUGCCAUUUCUUGGGCCACUCCCGCGGCAUAUGGAGGUUUCUAGGUUAGGGGUCUCAUCAGAGCUGUAGCCGCCGGCCUACGCCAGAGCCACAGCAACGCGGGAUCCGAGCCGCAUCUGCAACCUACACCACAGCUCAGGGCAAUGCUGGAUCCUUAACCUACUGAGCAAGGCCAGGGAGCGAACCCGCCACCUCACGGUUCCUAGUUGGAUUCGUUAACCACUGAGCCACAGGAACUCCCAUAAAUUGUCAUCAAGGUUUUGACUGUAAUAUUACCUACCGAUGGUGCCCAGGCCCUGCACAGGCGUUCCCUGUGCACUAUUCACUUUACUUGUCACCACUGCCCUCCGGGCCUGACCACUAACUGGCUGUGUUACCUUGGGCAGGUUUCUUAAUCUCUCUGCACCUCAUUUUUUUUCCUGUUUAAAAUGGGGUUAUAAAUAGUGCCUUCUUCAUGGAGUUUUUGUUUUUUGUUUUUUAUUUUUUUUUUGAGGGCCGCACCCUAGGCAUAUGGAGGUUCCCAGGCUAGGGGUCUCUUCAGAGCUGUAGCCGCCGGCCUACGCCAGAGCCACAGCAACGUGGGAUCCGAGCCGCGUCUGCGACCUACACCACAGCUCAGGGCAACGCUGGAUCCUUAACCUACUGAGCAAGGCCAGGGAGCGAACCCGCCACCUCACAGUUCCUAGUCGGAUUCGUUUCUGCUGCGCCACGACAGAAACGCCUUCAUGGAGUUGUUAUGAGAAGUAAAUGGGUUAGUUAGUGGAAAUCACACAGAACAGUGCCUGGCAUCCAGCAAGCUCACAGUAAAUAUAAUUACCAUAUUUAUCUGAAUUUUUCACAUGAAGAAAUGAAUUUUUAGAUGCAAUAACUUGCCUCACUAUCAAAGUGGUGGGACAUGGACUUGACCACUCUUCGGUGUUACGGCAGCUACUAGAGGUGGGCAGCAAGUUUGGGUAGAGAUGGGCAGCUAGAGAUGAGGUUGCCUAGUGGCCAAACAAAAGGAGACAUUGUGAUACACCGGGUAACUUCCCUGACCACUCAUCUCCAGAGACGUUGUAGUGACCUUUGUUUUCCUGCCACUGUGCAGUUCAGUAGGGCAUUCUAUGCCACUGCGUCGCUGGGUAAGUUGGGGGGGUACUCUGUGGGCAUUUAAUGGUCAGCCUAAUGUCUUACCGUAAUAUAAUUUGUAACAUCAUGACCUAGUGUCACAACUUCUCCCAGACCAUGGUUUGCAGUUGAUGGUCGAGAGGUAGCUUCCAAGUUGGUGAACAUGUAGAGGUGCUGGGAGAGUGUCAUGCCUGGAAAGGGCAUCACAGGGCUGUUACCCCCCACAUACUUUGCCCCAUGUGUCCCUUCCAUCUGGCUGUAACUGAGUACAGGACUGGGGGUGAUGUCACCAAAAUGGCAGUGUAGGAUACCCAGCCUCCAUCCCCAUACACAGAUCAGCAAUUAGCUACCCAGGACCAAAAAGAACUGCUCUGGGAGAGCUCUGGAGUCCACUUAAGAAACUUCAGCAAUGCAGUGGAACAAAAAACCUGAGAAUAACCAUACAAAGAGGGGAAGAGAGUGUCAUUCUGCCUGUAUUGUCCCAUCCCUAAAGCCAACAUUGCUCCAUGCCCAUAGGGAGCUCCCAGCUAGAAAGAGGAUCCUUCUCUAGGAAAAGGGAAGUGGGUUGAGUCACCAGCUUCCCCAGCCUUUCAGGGCACCACAGGAAAGUCCCACUUCAAUUUCACCCCACCCAGAGACUGGCAAAGCUGAGAUACACAGAGAUGGCUAGGAACAAGGAAGAAAAGCACAGGCUACUAGAGCAGGCACAUAGGAGGAGCAACCACUGUUCGAAGCCACCUGCUUUACAGACAAAUUCACCAGCGUUCACCCCACAGGUAUUUGCAUUCACUGACAUCAGCCACUUUCCCUACUAUUUUCUCCCCAGCCUGUGCUGCUCUGGCCCCUCCUACAGCCGAGGUACCACAACAGCAGCCAGACCAAGCUCUAUAGAAGUACAAAACACAAGCCUAGACAGCCCAUCACUAUGUUUGCACUUACAGCUAGGCCCUCCAGCUGUGUGUGUGCACACUGCCAGCCUGACACCGGCCACUUGCCUCCAUUGCUGUGCAUGCACCUGACACAGACUGUGCAGCUACAGGAGAAUAUGCAGACUGCCAGAGACUUUUGCAGCUGCCUAUAGUUGGCCCUGGUUCUUGCUGCUUGCCUUGGCACCCACCACUAAGUGUGUGUCUGCAACUAGCCCCUGCCAUUACAUAGGCAUCUGUAGCUGCCCCAUGCAGCUGAGUGUGUAUAUACCACUAGUUCCAACCAUCACUACUGUCUGUCCUGGCCCCUGGAUCUGGAGGUGCUGCUGAGGACCCAACAGCCAUUGCAGCUUUAGUGGCCUCCUGCAGCAUUCAUCAGGGACCACACAGUUGUUGAUGCCAUGGGCCCCAGCAAUCUGAGCCCAAGAGAAACCAUGUUCUCCUACACCCAUUGCUGCC
rnacentral:lncRNA from 1 species